rnacentral:lncRNA from 1 species
AUGCUGAAAGGUGGCACUUUCAGAAAAGGAGGUGGAAAGGACAGAUUUUGUCAGAGUCGAUGAGAACAAGAAACUGCUGAACUUCCUUMUUUGGGACAACUCAGCUUUUCUACUGUGAAUCCCCAAUUAAGAUUGAAGAAAGUGUUGCGGAUUUGUCAUCCUAUUAAAUCUGUAUCACUACCGUCUUUCAUCCUGCUCUCAGC